rnacentral:rRNA from 1 species
GUUUUUGUUUGGAGAGUUUGAUUCUGGCUCAGGACGAACGCUGGCGGCGUGCUUAACACAUGCAAGUCGAACGGAAAGGCCCUUCGGGGUACUCGAGUGGCGAACGGGUGAGUAACACGUG